UGUAAGAAAAACUUUCAAAACCUCUCAAUUGUUGGCUUCCUUCCUUCUUCAACUUGAACAUUGAUCUUUCAACAAAGAUUCUUCUUUGCUUAAUUGUUCAAUUACUCCAAAUUUUGAAUUGUAUGUAUAUUUUUAAUUCUAAAUUACUCUCACUAAUUUUUGCUUCAAUAAAAUUGGCAAAUAUUGCCAAAUUUAAAAAUCCCUAAAUGAC
rnacentral:lncRNA from 1 species